UUUCACCACUCUUUCUUAUCAUCUAUUAUUGUAUAAUAAAACCCAUCAACCAAAUAACUUAAAAAACACUAAAUAAAACCUUCAUAAAUCGUAUUCCACCUUUUUAUUAAUAUUCAAAAUCUGUAAUCAACAAACCCACCACAUGGAAAAAUCUCAAAAUCGAUCGAGCACGCCGAGAUCUAAUAAUUAUCAUAAAAAUGCCGAAGAUGUGAGUUUAUUCUUGGUCGAUCCACACUAAAAGAAAUUGUUGGAAUAAGAAGAUUUCAUCUUUGUAGCUGAAAUAUAAAACAAUUAUAUAAAAGAAUAAAUUUUGAGGUAUUGAUGGAAAGAAAAGAGAUAAAAAGUUAUUAGUUUGUAAUCUUGUAUGUAUAAAAUAGAUAGAGAUUUAUAUUUUGAUUUCGAUUCGAUUGUAUCUUUUGUUGUAAUGUAAUUAAGUUCUAUUGUGAUA